CUCAAUACAUCGUCUUCUCCAAAGUCGCAGCCACCAAAAUCUAGGGUUCGUGUUUUGCUUAAAUCGUCAAGACCAGUUACGUUCUUCUUCCUUCUUUGACACCAAAGCGUGGUUCUGUAGCACCAAUGGUUCGUCUCUGUGAUCCCGACUCUUAUAUCCGCUCAGUCUGCAUUGUGGCUGUGUCGGCGAUCUCUUCCCAAUGCACAGAUCAUAGUGGCGUUGUGUCUUGCAGCGGCGAUUGAUGAUGUGGAGGAUCCGGUUCGGUUAGGCAUGUGUUUCUUCCUAGGCUGAAGAGAGGUGAUGAAUCAGAAGAUGAACAGACCUGACUUUGUAGGUAUCAUAAUUUUCCAAGAUCUGUAGUCGUAUUGUAAUUUUUUCUGGAUUCGUAGUUCACUAAACAACUUACUAGAUCAUUGGCCCAGCGUUAAUUGGAAAGUAUCCAACUCAGCAUACUGCUAUUGACAAGUUCAUGGUCUAUAAACUGAUAAAAACGAGUGGGAGUGGUGUAAUCAAAAGGUGAUUCAAGGGAAAUUCAUGUUUUAUGUAUUUACUCAAUAGUGAAAGAUGAUUUUAAUAGGUUAGAAUAUUGCAUGUUUUGAACUCUGUAUGUGAUUCUGAUAUUCUAAGAAUGUAGGAUAUUGACUUUAUCUGCACCAAAAAGGUCACCGGUAUCAAGAUGUAAAAAGAUGGUGUUACGUUUCUUGCUCCAACUGUACCAAGAAGUUUCAACGGACUGUCUCAGCCUUUUCAGUGUGCACUGCAACAAUACUAAUGUUGUUGGUGUCGUCCGAGAUGUAUCUAUAUAGCAUGUUAUUUCCAUUCAUUGCACUGAAUGUCCACACACACGUAGUUACCCUUGACACUUAAUACAUGUUUUCUGACUUCUAGAUAUCGUGUGGAGAUGACCAUUGCUGAUGAUACUGCUGAUGGUCUAUUUGUUAGUUCGAUGGGAUAAUGACAAAACUACAUAACAUCAUAACCUAUGAAACUGGUCAUCUAUUGGCUGGAGAGGGUGUGAACCCGGAGGAGACUCAGGUCCCCCCUUUUAUUGCACACAUAGUAGUCAAGACCUACACGUUCUAGGUCAAGGUUAGUACCUACAACUUCACAGCGAAUCAUCAAGCUUUCACAAUCUCAAGCAUCCUUAGCGAAGGUGACCGUAUGCCACUCUCUGCCUUUUGUUGACGAUGGAGCAACGAUGACAAUGGAGAUGAUAUAUGCUUGGUGCCAACUCAGUACCUGCUAAGGUGGACAUUGGUGGUAGUAGUUUUCAGGAAGCAUCAACUACAUGAGCAGCUCCAAGUGGUGUCAGACACAAAGAAGCAUCCAGCGCAAGCCGCUUACAAAAUGGCCAAGAAAACACGCAUGGCAUAGGUUAAGAUAGUGAGAGCAUUAGACGCAGUAUUUCCUCUUUGAACAAUGCUAAUGCAUCAAUAUUUUUUUGAACAAGUUUGUUUUUUGUUUCCCUCCUUUUGGGUAAUCUAUGUUUGGUUCAGACGAUUUUUAUAAAAAUGUCUGAGCUUUAAUUGGUUUGUAUAUUUAGUACCAUACAUCAUUUAAUUACUAAGAUUCGGUUU